GCCCAGAAUUCCUGGGUGCCGCCUGACCCACAAGGACCCUGACCAUGAUGAAUAAGGCAUUCUGAUGGAAACCUGUUUACCCGCCGAGGUUAAGGAUUAAAGUCGAGACUGCCGGGACAACGAUGCUGCUCCUGUCAGAUGUGACGGGUCUGGAGUAAUUGCAACGACAAGAAAUCACUACAGACUUUAUUGAAGACUAGAGCGGAUAACAACUCUAUUAUUAUUUAAUUGUUUAUUUAUCUAUUUAUUACCAGUUAUGACUUUUAGAUCAUUUAAUUCUGUGUUUGUAUGAUUUGUGUAAAUCGUGUAUUUAUUUAAAGUAUCCUCCAGGCCACCCAAGAAGGAUGGGCCCUGCUGAGUCUGGUUCCUCUCAAGGUUUCUUCCUGUAAUUUUCAGGGAGUUUUUCCUUGCCACAGUCGCCCUCGGCUUGCUCAACAGGGGUUUUUGUAUCUGUUGGUCCUGGAUUUUGUAAAGUUGCUUUGAGACAAUGUAUAUUGUAAAAAGCGCUUUAUAAAUAAAGUUGACUUGACUUGA